GUCAUGGCACAACAUUGUUAUAGCUGGUUCUACACAGUGCUCAAGCAAUUUCAUAAUUGGCUUGCGCCGUCCAAGGUUUCAAGGAGCAAGGCCUACCGCACCACGGCGUCGAGCCAGCUGUCGGACGAGCGGGGAGAGCGUGAGGGAGAAGUCGGUGUCACCUCCCGCAACCGUCGCACUGGGUUCUUGUGUUGAUCAACAGCAAGGGCAGGAGUCCUUUAGGAUGCCAACAAAUUAUCUCUAG